rnacentral:misc_RNA from 1 species
UCGAAUUUCUGGGGCCGAAAGGCCUCGAAUUCCACACUGUGUUUUAAGCGCCUUCUGGUUGAUUCGAGAAGGAUGUGAAAACCUGAUUCAUACCUGGUAUGAAGAUUUUUUACAAAACAAAAAUUUUA